rnacentral:lncRNA from 1 species
GGCGCCAGCGCACAGACGGGAGGAAGAGAUGGGGCUCCAAAGCCCAGUCAGCAUUGGCUGCACUGAUAACGGGCACCUGGCGUAUUUGAUUUACCACCAGCAAGUCACCUGCCCUGGUGUUUCAUUUGGGGUCAUCAGAGAUGAAGAAAGUCACAAACAAAGGAAACCCUGAAAGUGUCUCAAAGGGCAGGCCUCCGUGUCAUCUGCCCCGGGCUGCCCAGGACUGGGCUCGUGGGGCAGGAGCCCAAGCAUCCUUGACCUUGACCUAGAGCAGCUAUUCAGGGGUGGGCAGGCGUCUGCCUGAGUCUCACCAGCCGGGCUCAGAAGCAACCCUUGGAGAAACCGGGAGAAACCACCUUCUCCCCAGCCCUUCUCGUGCCCGCGACCUCGCGCAGGCCCCAGUUUUUACCCUAAUCACCGAAAUUGGUCUUUUAUUUCUCCAGCAGAGGUAUUUUCCUCUGGAUCGUUUUAUACUGUUUUCGCAGCUCAUCACCUCUCUGCCCCCCCAGACUCCUGUGGUGCACAGACUGAGGGAGGGGCCCAAACACCGCCGGUGGCCUUGCAGACAGAGCAAAACAGCCCACGCAGUCCCCUCGGCUGCCUGUUUCCACGAGGUACUGGUCUCUUCGUGUUCACACCAUGUGCCACUAUAUUUUGCAUUUAUACUUUGGUAUUACACUCUUUUAUAGAUUGGCUCUUUUAUAAAUGAUGUGUAAAUAGUUUUCCACUAUCCGCCCUUCUAGAAUGCCUAUGGCAUCUUUUUUUGUUGUUGUUUGGUCCAAUACAUUUUUUUCCUGCAUAUGACUCUGUGUUUUUCAAAUCCACAUCUCUCCUCCGUAGUAUUUUUUAAAUAAAUGUUUACAACAUUAGAACUUGGGCAGCUUGCUUUGGUCUCUAAUUCUUCCCCGUUGUUCAGGCCGUGGCACGUGUGUGGGGAGGGAGGGAGUCACGUUCCCGAAGGGGCCGAAGGCGCCGUGUUGGUGAACAGAAUCCUGCAUCCUCCUCGUCCUCAGCCAUUUCAUGAGCCCACCUCAUCCUGGGCCCUUCCUGCACCCCCCUGUCAGCCGCACUGGGAGCGGGCUGUGCCACCUCGCAGACCAUGUCUGACGGGCGCGCGAGAGGAAGACCAGCCCGGGCUUCGCCGCCUGUCAGGCCGCCACGUGUCAUCGGAGUGGGAGGAGGUCACAUCCUGGACCCCUCUCUGGCUGAAGGGGUAAUCCCUCCCCACGGGGCUUUUUCUCUUUACAUUUGAGGCCCCCAGCCCCGUCAAUACCCACAGCACCCCAGGCAUCUGAUUUCUUUGUGUGCGCGAAAGUGUGCUGGCCUGAGAGGGGAUGGAGACACCGCCUGGGCUGUGCCGUGACCUCUCCCGAGGGAACUGUGGCCAGGCCACUGUCGUUUCCCCGGCUUGGUCUCCCUUGAACGGCAGCUGACAGCUGGAAAGUGGAAGUCGGGGCAUAAGUAGCACCCUCUGGUAAUGAUACCUAUUAAGCCAGCGGGUUUGUCAGCGAGUACAGAUCCUGUUCACCAAAGUGCUUUGGAGAGCACGGUUCAGUGAAACCGCUCUCCCAGAGACCUCGGCAGCAAGCCGUGCUGCACGCCAGGCAGUGGAGGUGGAAAGCCCAGCCCGGGACCGGGGCUGGCAGACGCCCCCGGGGCGGGCUCCAGUUGGGUAGCUGCAGCUGGCCCCGGGGACCGGAUCUCUUCCCUCCUUUCACAGAGGGAAAAACUGAACCAACACUUGACACCGGAUCUCCCAAGUCGGGGGCCUUUCCACGGGUAACGAGCUCUUGUCUCGAGUGACAGCUUCAAGUCUGAAAGAGGACACAGAGUGAUUACAGUGACAGCCACCGCGGACGGCCGCUUCCUCUGUGCUGCUCAUGGACGCGUCAUGGGAUCGUCACGGCAGCCUCUUGGGGCGUGUCAUCCUCUCCCAGUCCAGCUUUCCGAGCCACACUCCGUACCCAGUGGAAAGUGCUCCCUUACUGUUGCACUUUGGCUGCCACGCCGGGUGUCCCGAUGGAGACUCAAAACUCGCAUUUUCCCACUGUCCUCACUCCGUCCACCCGCCUCAGCUCUGUUCAUAUGCACACCCCCAAGUCCUUGGCUCCAUGCCCCUGGGGCAGGGGGACUGCUCAGAACCAGCCCCCCAGGGGAGGGGGCUGGCGCACAACAGCCUGCCUGGGAGCUGUGUCUCCUAACCUCCUUUUUGACACCAUCCAGGAUUUUGCUUCAGCGAAGUUCGAGAUUAAAGUAAGCACCCACUUAACCAAUCC